CAUUUGUUCUCUAAAUAAGGACUUGUAUGAAUGGCCACACGAGGGUUUUACUGUCUCUUACUUCCAAUCAGUGAAAUUGACCUUCCCGUGAAGAGGCGGGAAUAAAUAAAUAAGACGAGAAGACCCUAUGGAGCUUUAACUAACUAGUCCAAAGAGAAUAAACCAAACCACCAAGGAAUAAAAAUACUCCUGAUGGACUAGCAGUUUUGGUUGGGGUGACCUCGGAGAACAAAAAAYCCUCCGAACGAUUCUAAAAACCAGACUCACCAGUCAAAUUAUUCUAUCGCUUAUUGACCCAAAAAUUUGAUCAACGGAACAAGUUACCCUAGGGAUAACAGCGCA
rnacentral:rRNA from 1 species